rnacentral:rRNA from 1 species
CCUACGGGUGGCUGCAGUGGGGAAUAUUGGACAAUGGGGGGAACCCUGAUCCAGCCAUGCCGCGUGUGUGAAGAAGGCCCUCGGGUUGUAAAGCACUUUCAGUGAGGAAGAACGCCUGGUGGUUAAUACCCAUCAGGAAAGACAUCACCCACAGAAGAAGCACCGGCUAACUCCGUGCCAGCAGCCGCGGUAAUACGGAGGGUGCGAGCGUUAAUCGGAAUUACUGGGCGUAAAGCGCGCGUAGGUGGCUUGAUAAGCCGGUUGUGAAAGCCCCGGGCUCAACCUGGGAACGGCAUCCGGAACUGUCAAGCUAGAGUGCAGGAGAGGAAGGUAGAAUUCCCGGUGUAGCGGUGAAAUGCGUAGAGAUCGGGAGGAAUACCAGUGGCGAAGGCGGCCUUCUGGACUGACACUGACACUGAGGUGCGAAAGCGUGGGUAGCAAACAGGAUUAGAUACCCGAGUAGUC